rnacentral:lncRNA from 1 species
CAGCUGAGAACACCGGCGGUGGAAAGACCGACGGCAAAGCCAUGGCCGUAAUCAGAAUAACAUCAGAAUGUAAUUGGAAGACACUUGAUUGCUCACUGCUGUCUCCUUGAAGAAUCUCAAACAGGAGUUCACGCAUUAGGUAUAAAAUAAUGCUUUCUGAAGCUAUGUUGUUCGUCCUUCUCGUCUUUAGAAUCUUCCAAAUGCUGAAGACAUCCCAAAGCCUUUACUUCAUCUCCAUUCAAAAAUACUUUGACCAAAAAAAAAAGAAGAAGAAGAAGAAAUUAUUUCUCAACUUUGAUUG